CACAGCCAGGUCAAACCGAAACAAUGCUCGUAAUAACGCCUCCAGACUAGUUCAUCAUCGUCCCUGACUCGAUUUCGCACCGUCGACAUUAGGGAGAAGAAAUCAAGACGACGUUUCCAACUCUCUCUUCAUCACAUACGCAAAUGAAAGAAUACGAAGGGCGACUUACCGGCCGGUUUCGAUGUGGUGCCUUCGAUUUGUCUCAAUCUCUUCUGUUGAGAAUCAUAAUCAUGGUUCCGGAUUUCGUCUGCUACGCGUGUUGUUGAUUGAGAUGAGAAUGAAGGUGGAGCUUUGUUCGCGCAUGGUGUUUCCUUGUCGAUUCAAGAUGAAGGAAGGUUGUUGAACCGAGGAUUGAGAUCUUUCGUCCGGAUUUCGCGUUGUCGAAGGCGAAGGUGAAGACUUUGGUUUUAUGCGUGUGUUGUGCGUAAUUUUUUCUUUGAAGAGAGAAGCUUGGUUCUUCGAUUCCGUCAGAUUGAAGUUCUAUCGCGUCGGCUCAGUUAAUUGCAGGGUUGAUGAGAGAGUGAGGGGGUUUUGGCAGCAGUGGUUUUGGGAGGUUCUUCCGUUGGGGGAGAAGUGAUGGAGGAUGGUUUUUGAAGAGUUGUUGAGAUGGAAGGUUCGAGGAGAGGGUGAGAGAAUGGUGGAGCAUUGUUAGGGGUUGAUGGUGAAGGAGUGAGGCAACGCGAGAAGAAGGGUGUUCUUGAUUCCUCCUUUUGGUUCUCGUUUCUGGUUCUUCUGAAUUAUUGCAGUGAUGCGCGGUCGUUGCCGAUGGAGGUUGAGGAUGGAUGAAGGGGUGAAGGCUGCAGAACUAGCGAAGAACAGGGGAUUGCAGGAUGAAUCCGGAGAUGAAAGUUGCCAAUCUCAGAAUGGAGAACAGAGGGUUAUGGAGUGAAUAAAAGAGUUGAAGAUCAUAGACUCUACACAGCUUGUUGCAGAGUGAGAUGCUGAAGACGAAAAUUGCCAAAAAGAGAAACCCCCUCAGAAUGAGGCUUGGAGGGCUUAUAUAGAGUGCUCAGCCUAACCGAUUCGGGCAGACCUCGGUAAAUCGGUCAGUUAGUUAUUCUGUUAGGGAUGGUGCACACAUGAAUAUGGAUGUACAAAGCUUGGGAAAGGGGUUUUCAUGGCUAGGAAGGGAUUGGUUCGAGUUGUGGAGUGCUCGAAAUUGCUUUGGAUUAUUGUAUUUUUGAAUUGGAAUUUGAAUGUACAUUUUGUAGUUUGGAAUGUAAUGUGUAAUAGUUAGUUAUGAUUAUGGUUGUAACUUGUGUAUUAGCAAAUGGAUGUGAUUGAAAAUCCAGAAAUCGGAUAGAAAAUUUGUAUGUUAUGUAAUGGUUUUGUAAUUGUUUGGAUCAUGUUGAAUAUAAAGAUAGCUUAUAGUUUA